UCCUUGUUAGCUCAGUUGGUAGAGCGUUCGGCUUUUAAACACAUGUUUAAUCGAGGGCAACCGAAAUGUCAGGGGUUCGAGCCCCCUAUGAGGAG